CCCUGCUCUUCUCUUGGCUGGUGUGAAUGUACCUCCUCAGGUGAAACCCUGGCUUGAACUUGACCUGCCCAGAGUCCAGAAGAAGGCAAAGGAAUUCCAGGACAGGAGGAGGUAAGCAUUUCCUAAACCAGACCAACAGCACAUCUGCACUGCAAACUCAGCUUGGGCUCAGGUUCCUUUCCCUACCCAGAGAGUGACUUUUCACCCAAAGCUGCUGGUGCUUCAGACCAUUUGAUCUGGCCAUCAUGGCAUUGUGGGCAUGCUCCAGGCUUUUGCUUUCCUUUGGGCUGAAAACACCCAUUUCAAAACAAACCUAAACCACUGGUGGGACCCUUCUGUGCCUGCCGGCCCUCCAUCCUCACUUCUCCCUCUCCACCUGCCUCUUUCCUUUACAUCUCUUCAAAAAGAUUUUGGUGGAGAUCUAUUAUGCAAAAACCUAGGUGGCACAUGUCCUUGGAAGCACCGGUGUCCUGCAGAGCUGGACAUCCACACAAGGAUUUCUGCUUCUUCAACCAGACUGCUCCUGGACCAUGUGUGUGCUCACUUCCCACACCAUGCAAAUAAAGUUUUGACUCCUACAAGGGAGUCUACACUGGAGGAUUUCAACAAUGCCUCAUCACAAGAUGCACAGCUCUGCAAAGUAUCCAUUCUGAAGCAGUUCUGCCAAAUACCAAGAGAAAAUUGCAUAACAUGAGAAGGAGCAAACCACAGCUGAAGCUUCAUCAUCCACAGUGGCAGCUGACUAUGGACGUCACGAGUUCUUCCAUACUCGGUGGCAUCAUUUCCAUUUUCUUUGGACAGUAGUAGUGAAAGAAUAAACAUUUCAAAAGGUUCAAAUGAGACCUUUGAGUGCCAGCGCUGAAUCCCUGCGAGGUUGGGAUAAACUGACAAAAUAACAUCCUGCAGAAGCUGUGCCUGGGACAAACCAUCAUUCCUGUGUUCGUGUUCUGUGGUUUGUAGCACAGGGGCUACUUUAAAACUUGGUCUCUGUCCAGGCACCAGUACCAGCUCUCCCAUGACUUUAUGUUUGCAUCUCUUUCUUCUUCAUGAAGGGAAGAUUUCCAGGUUUGUUCCUUUUAACUUUGUUCAUGGUAGCACUCUUGACAGAAGGACUUAGUGCCUAUUUAAUGUCUUUGCAAGGAAAAGAGAGAAACUUCUCGGUUACAUAAAAGUUUGUAUCAAAAUUCAAGAAUCCGGAUUAAUUAUAGAAGACUUGCCUUGUAUCAUUCAAUUUGUUUGAAUAGCUUUAAAGAUUAAGCAGAUCCAAGGCCUAACAGAACCAGAGCCAGUAAGACAAUAGCUGAGAUUUUCCUUUGAAACAAAAUAUACAGGUGGUUUCUGUGAGUUUCUGUGUCUAUCUGCCCGGCUUUUUUAUUUUUAUGUCGUAUCCAAUAUCACAGAACCUGGCAGUAGAAAUCAUAUAGCAAUUUGUGAAAGCUUGUUGCUGUUCUAGAUAUCAUAUAGUCUGUUCCACACCAGCAAAGACAAAACCAAUGCCUUUACUCCUCGAGUUUUCAUUCAAAAGGAUAAUGAUCUCUGGUAACAAAAUAUUUGGCAGUAGCAUUAUUUAAAAUGCACAGAGGAAAUGUUUGUCCCUAAUUCAAGGGACUGUGGUCACACAGUCUCUAUUCACUUGGUAUUUACCAGUGAAUGCCAAAGGCUAAUCUGCAAAAAGCUCAGGAACAGAGUUAAGUUUAUCACACUCCAUCCUUCACCCAUCCCAUUGUGAGUCACAAAAUAGUAAUUAUUGAAUUUCUUUGUGGCCAGAGAACGUAUAAACCGUGUUAUACCCAGCAGGCUCUAAUGGCUCCUUCGGUAAGUAUCUAAUUAAGUGGUUGGGAUGUUGGGGUUUUUUUCUUUCACAGCAUAUUUUCGUGUUUUAAAAUCCCUUUGCAUUAAACGACUCCUCCAAUUUUCCAAAUUUCUCACACGCACAGAAGAGGGAAAUAAGAAAAAAAGCGGAGGGGAGAUUUCGGUCGUGGGAACAGAAGGCAGAAACGAGGAUUCGCAAAGGCUAAAAGCAAAUCCUCCCCAAAAUCUCAAUUUAAAAUACGGAAAACUGCAACUACGAUCUGCCUGGGACAGUUGCCUGUCUGGAGAGGGGGAA
rnacentral:lncRNA from 1 species